CCUGAGAAACCCAAAAGAUCGAAUGGGGAGAUUCAUCGUCAGCGACUCUGGCAAGUGUGCGGUUCGCGAUAUUGCGAGACUUCGGUCUCGCGGUACGCGUCCGCAUGUUUUUAGUGUCGGGUGUCGUCGGCGUGCACUUCUCCCCUAGUAGGACGUCGCGACCCGUUGGGUGUCGGUCUACGGCCCGGGUGGGCGCCUGUUCCGUCGUUUCGGCGUUACGGAACAGACCCCCGGUUGCCUGACCGACUGCCCGGCGGUACUCGCACGGUAUCGGGUCGCAAUUGUUGCGUCUGGCCCGCCGCAAGCGCGAUCAGUGAUACUCGGAUGUACGGACCUAGCGCCGUCACCGAGCCUGAUCAGCUGUUGGUCGGCGGUGUCCUGAGACUGGCCCUUUGAACGUAUGAUACCGGUCGGCGACGCUACUGCUUUGGGUACUUUCAGGA
rnacentral:rRNA from 1 species